ensembl:snRNA U6 U6 spliceosomal RNA
GUGCUUGUUUCAGCAGCACAUGUACUAAAACUGGAAGCUAAGAGAAGAUUCGGAUGGCCCUGUGCAAGGAUGACACCCAGGUUUGUGAAGCACUCCAUUUAAAA